CUUGGACACCAAAGGAGAUGCCUUUCUGGUCACCUAACAGCUAAUCAUGCUACCUCCCACUCUCCUUCCUAGUUAUAUUACUAAGGCUGCAAUCUUAACUACACAAAGGAGAGCAGACCCUCACCUGCCAAUCUGGAGCAGACAUUCACCUGCUUAUCUGAGGGAGAGGAUAUAUCAAGAGCAAGUGCUCCACAGAGUGUGCAGAGUGCAGGCCAUUCACAGCUUUAAAGCAUCAAGGAGAAAAGUCUGCUGUCCUCUGGGAAAUAUUUAUUCAGUAGCCCACAGAAAAAAUACAGCUUCCAAGGCCUACCACAAUUUUCUUCCUGUGCAUGCUGGAAGGCGGAUGGAGAUAUCAGAUUUCCCUUCUUCCCUCUUACUCUGAACAGAGUUCCUCUGU